rnacentral:sRNA from 1 species
GCAAAUCACUUAAAGUGAGCGCGAGGCUCAAUCACAGCUCUGCCAAAAGUGUCCUGCCAGAUACCGAUGCCAGGACAUGGCGACACCAGGACGUCCAGGACAACCAGGCUGCUGGAGGAGGAGGAGAGAUGCCUGAGAUGGUAGUGCUGGAGUGGAGUCACCGUCGAAUGUCAGGAGUGUGUGGCAUCUUAUAAAUCGAUAUGAGUGUCUGUUGCACCCACACAGAUCCAGAGGAGUGGCAGGAACAAGGCCGGCAAGGAAGGCAGGGUGGGGGGAAAGGACAUGGCUGAAGUUCGAUCGUUACGGUGCAUGUUUUGGCUUCCACUGGGAGAAACAAAACUUCUGAUGAGAUAGUUGUGGAUUUCGUCACUGGAAUAAAGCCUCUUCAGAAUUGCAUUUCUGCGGAGAGUGCAAAUGGCUGCGAAGGCGGGUGGCGGCAUCGCGUCAUCUUGUCAAAUAUUUCGCGCUAAAUUAACACGACAGCGCGCCCAAAUGGAGUAAGAAGAUGUCAGCCGGGCCGAAAGGACGAAGGACGCAGGACGCAGGACAUGGGGGAACUAAGAGGUUGCAAGUAGCAAGUUGCAAGUUGCGAAAGCGAGUAGCACUGACUGACGGUCCUCAAAGGAGCAGCAGCAAAAAAAAAAAAAAAAAAGAAAAACUGAAACCCAUGAAGCUCAAGUGGUUGGAGUUUCCAGGUGUCAGUGUGAGAGUGCAUAAUUUGUUGGCUUUGUGCAACACCCCGGUAGCCCUUCUCCAUUCAGCUUCCUUGCCAUCCUGCUGAAGUAUCCGAAAGUCCUUUUGUGGCAAGAUGCAAGGAUGGACCGCAGCUUGGAAUGCCCUAGCAGGACACU